rnacentral:rRNA from 1 species
GAUGAACGCUAGCGGCAGGCCUAAUACAUGCAAGUCGAACGGUGUUUUCGGACCUAGCGGCGGACGGGUGAGUAAUGCGUAGGAAGCUACCCGAUAGAGGGGGAUACCAGUUGGAAACGACUGUUAAUACCGCAUAAUGUCUACGGACCAAAGUGUGGGACCUUCGGGCCACAUGCUAUCGGAUGCGCCUACGUGGGAUUAGCUAGUUGGUGAGGUAAUGGCUGACCAAGGCGACGAUCCCUAGCUGGUUUGAGAGGAUGAUAAGCCACACUGGAACUGAGACACGGGCCAGACUCCUACGGGAGGAAGCAGUGGGGAAUAUUGGACAAUGGGCGCAAGCCUGAUCCAGCCAUGCCGCGUGUGUGAAGGAGGCCUUCGGGUUGUAAAGCACUUUCAGUAGGGAGGAAGCGUUGUGUGUUAAUAGUACACAGCGUUGACGUUACCUACAGAAGAAGCACCGGCUAACUCUGUGCCAGCCGCCGCCGUAACAC